rnacentral:rRNA from 1 species
GAGUUUGAUCGUGGCUCAGAUUGAACGCUGGCGGCAUGCCUUACACAUGCAAGUCGAACGGCAGCAUGAUCUAGCUUGCUAGAUUGAUGGCGAGUGGCGAACGGGUGAGUAAUACAUCGGAACGUGCCCUGUAGUGGGGGAUAACUAGUCGAAAGAUUAGCUAAUACCGCAUACGACCUGAGGGUGAAAGUGGGGGACCGCAAGGCCUCAUGCUAUAGGAGCGGCCGAUGUCUGAUUAGCUAGUUGGUGGGGUAAAGGCCCACCAAGGCGACGAUCAGUAGCUGGUCUGAGAGGACGAUCAGCCACACUGGGACUGAGACACGGUCCAGACUCCUACGGGAGGCAGCAGUGGGGAAUUUUGGACAAUGGGCGAAAGCCUGAUCCAGCAAUGCCGCGUGUGUGAAGAAGGCCUCGGUCGU